AGAAUCAACGCUGGCGGCGUGCCUCAGGCAUGCAAGUCGAACGCGAAAGUCUCCUUCGGGGGACAAGUAGAGUGGCGCACGGGUGAGUAACACGUAGGUAAUCUACCUUCGGAUGGGGAAUAACAACCGGAAACGGUUGCUAAUACCGCAUAAUGCAGCGGCACCUAAUGGUGACAGUUGUUAAAGCGGGGGAUCGAAAGACCUCGCGUCUGAAGAGGAGCCUGCGGCGGAUUAGCUAGUUGGUAGGGUAACGCCUACCGAAGGCGACGAUCCGUA
rnacentral:rRNA from 1 species